rnacentral:rRNA from 1 species
UGGGGAAUAUUGGACAAUGGGCGAAAGCCUGAUCCAGCAAUGCCGCGUGAGUGAUGAAGGCCUUCGGGUUGUAAAGCUCUUUUACCCGGGAUGAUAAUGACAGUACCGGGAGAAUAAGCCCCGGCUAACUCCGUGCCAGCAGCCGCGGUAAUACGGAGGGGGCUAGCGUUGUUCGGAAUUACUGGGCGUAAAGCGUACGUAGGCGGCUUUGUAAGUUAGAGGUGAAAGCCCGGGGCUUAACCCCGGAAUUGCCUUUAAGACUGCAUCGCUUGAAUCAUGGAGAGGUGAGUGGAAUUCCGAGUGUAGAGGUGAAAUUCGUAGAUAUUCGGAAGAACACCAGUGGCGAAGGCGACUCACUGGACAUGUAUUGACGCUGAGGUACGAAAGCGUGGGGAGCAAACAGG